UACACCAUUCUACGCCUGUCUUUUCAACAACUCCCCUCUUGUAUAAGGUAUAGAAAAAAGAAAGAGAGAGAGAACCCCCUACUAGCCACUAGGUUUGGUUUCUCUUUGGCAGAGAUUCGUGGAGAUCUUCAUUCAUACAUCGCUUUCCCUUUUGCUCUGACUCUUAGGCCGAGAGUGACACUACACUCUACUUAAGCUAAUAUAACCAAUACUACCUCUCCAUCUUCCGGGAUUCUUGCUUACUCUUUCCCCUUUCUACCAUUGUUUUCCCUUCUUUUUUUCUUCCAUUUGUCUCGUUUUCUUCAGAACACUUGCAUGGUUCAUCGAUUGUCCAACUUGGGAUUUUCUUAGGGGAGUGGAGAAGAAGUCUUCUUUGUUUUCGUUGUUAUAAAUAUUUCGCUGAUCAUACGUUUAUCUGUUUUGGAUAUAUAUUAGUGAGUUUUAUACUGUCAUUGCUUUUACUAUUUGACGUUAAAGAGAGUUGGUCACUGCUUCAGGAGUAUCUUUCCUUGCUUCACCGGAUCAUCAAUUAACAGGGUUCGGAUUUCAAGAGUCAAAUCAGUUGCUGCUUUCCAAAUGUGAAGUCCAUUGAUCUCGAAUCAUAAGCAUCAAUGUAAGGAGAAUUUCUACUCUCAUUAUCUCCAAAAUCACCACACAUUUUUUAUCUACCCAAUUUGUUUUUGAUUAGAUCUACCAAAAUAUCUUCUUAUAGAAAACUGAGAAGAAUAUGAAAAUGUUUGGGCACAUAGCACUGCUUAUUUGCUCAUUUGAGUUUUGAGCCUCUUAGAAAUUUGUUUGUGAUUUACCUCUUACAUUAAUUUAAUUCGGUAUUGAACGGUUUAAGAGAGCUUCCUUCAGUCCACUCAUAGGUGGAUGAAGGGAUUUGGAUUAGCUGCCGACUCAUUCAUUCAAACACAGUAGAAAUCAUAUAUGUAUUUCUAUACGCUACUGUGAAUGUGUGAAUGAUGCGGGAGGUAAAUUCAUCCCUUUUUAUCUGUGCUUGGACUGAAGGGAGCUCCCUUUUGCCUUUUUCUUUACUUUCCUUUUCUUUUGAUCCAACUGCUAAUCGUCCCUCUAGAUAUAGUGGAUCAUACUAAUUAAGGAUUGAAGCAUGUUUGAUUUUUGUUUUUCUUUUUGUGUAAUAGUGUAGGGUAUUUGUGACAAGCAUGUGACCUGCUUCUAUACUUUUUCUUUACUACUUUCAAAUUUGUGAUUCAUUUUGGUAAUAAGCUGUGUUUUGGGUUUUGUUGCGAGAUGAGUAAGAUCCAAAUAGAUUUUUUCCUUGUAAAAUCAUCAAAGGUGUUGAACUUUGGACUUAAGAUUUUACACUAGUUGUAAUUUUUUUAAAUGUUUUUAACCAAGGUGGCUAACAUUUUGAUUUGAUACCCACUUUUAUUCAAUUGAUGAGCACUUGCAACUUGUUUAGUUAAACUUGCAAGGUGGGAAAUAGCUCGCCCUCUUAUUAGUUGGAAUCCAAAUUUGAGAUAUACUUUUAGGUGAUCAGCACUUGCUGUGAUUGUUCUUCUGCAGAAUUGGUUUAAGCAUAUGAGAAAAGUUCUAAUUACUCAUAUGGGCUGUUGCCUUCCUCUCCUUCCCCACUAAAUGACAUUUAGUUAGAAGGAUGAGAGUUUUGUGUUAACACUAUAACUUCAUUUGAAAAUCCAUCAAAUGAAAAUGCUGCACUUUCUUACCUGUUUCUCAGCCAUAUAUUGCUCUUGUGAUGUACCCACUUUUCUCCCUCUUCAGCAGGUGAAAACCCUCGUUCUCUUCUUGGAAAUUAAACACUUUGUGCAGCCUUCUCACUUCUCCUUCCAAGCUUCUUCUCGACUCUAAAAUGUACAAAGCCAUGAAUGCAAUUGAGUAAUGGCUUCUUGUUUUUACACAUUUUCUCCUGUUUUCUUUUAUAUUCUUUUCUGGAAAUCAAGAUUUGGGUCUGUUUGGAGAAUAUUCCAUUGAAGUUGAAAAAAAAGAUUUUUGAAGUUGAAUGUGUGUAAAAAUGAAUUUCAAUAAAGUUAGAAGUUUUGUGACUUGAUAUAUUAUUCGAAUCAUUUUUUCUACGUCAGAUUUUCUAUUCCAAGUUUUAAUUUGAGAUAAUAGAUAAAACUGUACGUUAAAUUACAAAGAAUACUUAAAUUAUUUGCAAAAAAUAUGUAUGUUCAAAUGCCUACUAAGUAGUAGUGCAUUAGAUGGCAUUGGAACUUGUAACUAAUUUAAUGCCUACUAUUUUAUUUAAGUAUGUUGACAUUCGUGAGUUUUUUCAUUGAACAUAACAUUUUAAGGGGUGGUUUUGUUAAUGUAUUUGUCCAUCACCAUGCUUGAAAUAUUAAAAUGAUUAAAUAUUAAUCAUCAGUAUCAGUGUGAUAAGCCUAAAAAGGACUAGGAGCUGCCGCCUAUCCUCUCAAAUGAGCGGCUUUCUUUACUCUCGGAAUGUGUUUUCCUUUAGGUUACAAUCUAACUUUUCCUUCCCUUUAAACCAUAAAAACAAAAGUUGCAAUGCUGCACUUCUUUUCUGGAGAUUAACUCUUUUAUCGAGUAAUAUAUUGAAUGAAAAAUCAUUAAACAAUUUCUGACGUUUGUACUUGUGCUUGUGCGUAAAGUACUCAUGUGAAGAUUCUAAGUUAUUGAGUUUAUUAGUUUUAAAAAAGGAGUUCAUUGUGUAGUUCGAGAAUGGGGAAGUACUACUAUGUCUCUUGUUUUUAUUGUGAUUUGGAGUAAUGGCCAUGUUUUGUUAUUUUCAA